rnacentral:lncRNA from 1 species
AUAUUAUAAUGACUGCAUGAUUAGAAUACAUUCUUGUAUGUAUCAAAUUUUAGUUUCUAAAAGAUAUAUAAUGAUCUUAUUUUAUGCAUCGUUAUCAUCAGUAAUUCAUUGAGAAUUUGAAUAAAAUUUUUAUUGUUAUAAUGUUAAUUUUGCUAAAUUACAAAAAUGUCAAACAUUUAAUACAUUUUAAUUUUCAUAUUUCAAGAGAUAUCUGUAACAUCUUAUCAUUGUAAAAACAUAUAUUAGGUCAUCCUUUCAGACUGUUACUAUACAACAUCACAUACCACCAAUUUAACAUGUUAUCUAGUUCGGCAAUGUUACCAAAAAAUCUCAAAACUUUAUCAAAUUUUAUUAAUGGAAUAUAUAGAAGGAUAAAUUUACUUGUAAAUCUUUGCAAAAUAUUAAUUGAAAAUGUGUUCAAAAGACCAGGAGUUUACAAGAUACCUGUUAAAUAUAACACCACACACCAAGAGAUAACAUAUGUAGGUAUAACUACCAAACAUUAAACCAGAGAUUAGAGGAGCACAGAAAAGACUUUGCUGCUGGUAAAUUAGCCACUGCAUUAGCAGUUGAAGCAUAUAACAGCAGCAUAGAAAUAAAAUCGGAGCAAGCUAAAGUAAUAAAGCUGAUCACAGUAAAAUUCCAGGCCAUAAUCCAGGAGACUAUCAAAAUAA